GUUAAAUUAGUUUAAACAAAAUAUCAAAUUGUGGCUUUGAAGAUAAAUUUUAUAUUUAUUUAACC
rnacentral:tRNA from 1 species